rnacentral:rRNA from 1 species
AUAAUAUAAAUAUAUAGAAUAUUAUUAUUUAAUUUCUAAAUAGAUUUAUGAUUAUGACUUUAAUCUAUUUAUAAGUCUUCGACUAAAUUACGUGCCAGCAGUCGCGGUAAUACGUAGAAGACAAGUGUUAAUCAUCUUUAUUAGGUUUAAAGGGUACCUAGACGGUAAAUUUAAUCUGAAUUAAGUUAUUAGUUUACUAGAGUUUUAUGUGAGAAAGAGAGAACUUUUAGAGGAAAGAUAUAAUUUUUUGAUACUAAAAGGACUGAUAACAGCGUAGGCAACUUUCUAAAUACAAACUGACGUUGAGGGACGAAGGCAUGGGUAACGAAAAGGAUUAGAUACCCUAAUAGUCCAAGCAGAAAAUUAUGAAUGCUAUAAGUUAGUUUGAUUUUAACUUAUAAAUGAAAGUUUAAGC